rnacentral:rRNA from 1 species
AUUGAACGCUGGCGGCAGGCCUAACACAUGCAAGUCGAGCGAGCGGCGGACGGGUGAGUAAUGUAUGGGGAUCUGCCCGAUAGAGGGGGAUAACUACUGGACACGGUGACUAAUACCGAAUACUCUAGGAUUAACCCAUAGGGGAUUAGCCAGUAGGUGGGGUAAAGGCUCACAUCGGCGACGAUCUCUAGCUGGUCUGAGAGGAUGAUCAGUCACACUGGGACUGAGACACGGCCCAGACUCCUACGGGAGGCAGCAGUGGGGAAUAUUGCACAAUGGGCGCAAGCCUGAUGCAGCCAUGCCGCGUGUGUGAAGAAGGCCUUAGGGUUGUAAAGUACUUUCAGCGGGGAGGCGUUACCAGCAGAAGAAGCACCGGCUAACUCCGUGCCAGCAGCCGCGGUAAUAC